rnacentral:rRNA from 1 species
UACGGAGGGGGCUAGCGUUGUUCGGAAUUAUUGGGCGUAAAGAGCUCGUAGGCGGUCUGUCGCGUCGGCUGUGAAAUCCCGAGGCUCAACCUCGGGUCUGCAGUCGAUACGGGCAAACUAGAGUAUUGCAGGGGAGACUGGAAUUCCUGGUGUAGCGGUGAAAUGCGCAGAUAUCAGGAGGAACACCGGUGGCGAAGGCGGGUCUCUGGGCAAUAACUGACGCUGAGGAGCGAAAGCGUGGGGAGCGAACAGG